rnacentral:rRNA from 1 species
UUGAACGCUGGCGGUAUGCUUAACACAUGCAAGUCGAACGGUAGCAGCUCUUCGGAGGCUGACGAGUGGCGGACGGGUGCGUAACGCGUAGGAAUCUGCCUAUUAGUGGGGGACAACUUAGGGAAACUUAAGCUAAUACCGCAUACGCCCUUCGGGGGAAAGGAGGGGAUCGCAAGACCUUUCGCUAAUAGAUGAGCCUGCGUAGGAUUAGCUAGUUGGUGGGGUAAAGGCCUACCAAGGCGACGAUCCUUAGCUGGUCUGAGAGGACGAUCAGCCACACUGGGACUGAGACACGGCCCAGACUCCUACGGGAGGCAGCAGUGGGGAAUAUUGGACAAUGGGCGAAAGCCUGAUCCAGCAAUACCGCGUGUGUGAAGAAGGCCUUAGGGUUGUAAAGCACUUUCAAUUGGAAGGAAAACCUCGUGGCUAAUAUCCACGAGCUUGACAUUACCUUUAGAAGAAGCACCGGCUAACUCCGU